UGGAAUGGUCAUGAGAUGGAAUGCACACAACCUCGAUAUUAGCCCAACUGGAUCUAUUUCACCUACGCGUUAGAGAAUUAACGCGGUAAAUCUGUGAAGACUUAGUAGGUACUUCAAGAUUUUUUUUUAAUCUAAGAUUAAUAAUAACAAAAAAUAAAAUUUUAUUCAUUUUAUAGACAUAUAAUUCUCAUCAAAUUAGUUCCUAAAGUUUAAUAUAUUUUUUCUUAAAAAUCACAAUUACCUUUACUUACCGUAACCCAAUAAUUGAUAAUAGCUGAAUUACAACAUUGUAGCCCAAUGCAAACUAGUUGAACACUUAGGAUAUACGGAAAUAAAUCAAUAAUGUAUUGUUAAUGCAUAUUGUGAGGCCCAAUUUUUGCUCGAGCCUGCAAACCAAAAAAUAAACCAAUCAUAUAAAACAUAUAUAUAUAAAAGUCCAAUAACAAUGGUCCAAUUACAAUAAAACCCUAAAACCCAAAUUGGCCCAAACCUUUUUAACCAAAACAACCCAAUUAGCCCAAUACACCCUAGCCCAGUAACCCAAAAAAAAACUGGAAACAUUAGCCAGACUGCGCCACAGCUGGAACCAGACCCUCCCACUCACGCCGCGCGCCUCUGCUUUCCCCACACGUGCAUCUCCGCCUCCAACUGGCUGUACCUGCAAAACAAAUGUAACAAAUUAGCAACAACAAAAGCAACCACGCAGCAAAAAAGAAUAACAGAAGAUAGGAGAGGAAAAAAUAGAUUUUAUUUUAUUUUAUUUAUUUAUUUUUUUAUUUUCGGCUAUAAAAGCCGAUUACAAAAUCUGUAAAGGGGAUUGUAAAAAAAAUCAAUAGAAGAGGGCGAAUAGCAGUUGUUUUUAAAGGUGAUUUGCUUAUUUCUAUUAUUUUUCCUUUGAUUUUUUUAUUUUAUUUGUGAAUUAAAAGAAAAGGAGAAAGUUCUUACCUUCGUGAGUGCGCCGUCGGAAUCUCCAUGUGCUCUGUCCCAAAUCUGAGUCGAUAGUGGAAGAUUUUGGGCUUGCGCAGCGGGGGAGAGAAACAGAGUGGUGGCUACUAAUUUUAAGAUUUAAAAGGGUCUAUUUAUAGUGCGAGAAACGGCACCGUUUAGGGCCUAUUUCAAUGGCUCCAAAAUGGUGACGUGUUGGCUAGUAACCCGAUUACCUGACCCGCUAGUCUCAGAUCCGCACAUUUUAUAGCGCAAGGGAAAUUUGCACAAAUGGUCCUCGUUCUUUUUAUAACUCUUUCAAAUUAAUCCUUUUAUUUCAUUCAAAUUUGGCCACGCAUUCUAUGUUUCAUUCCAAUUUGGUCCGUGUCAAGACGUUGCAUUUUGAGGGAAGGGAAUAUUUCUUAUUCGGCCCCCAUGUUAUUCGCGCGUCAUAUUUUGGCCCUCAGUUUUAUUUUAUUCUCAUUUUUUAUUUUUUAUUUUGUUUUAAAUUCAAUUUAAUCAUCA
rnacentral:lncRNA from 1 species